rnacentral:rRNA from 1 species
CCCUUAGAUGUUCUGGGCUGCACGCGCGCUACACUGAAGCGUUCAACGAGUAUUCACCUUGCCCGGGAGGGUUGGGUAAUCUUUUCAAAACGCUUCGUGAUGGGGAUAGAUUAUUGCAAUUAUUAAUCUUCAACGAGGAAUUCCCAGUAAGUGCGGGUCAUCAGCUCGCGUUGAUUACGUCCCUGCCCUUUGUACACACCGCCCGUCGCUGCCCGGAACUGAGCCGUUUCGAGAAGACUGAGGAUUGCUGACUUGAGGCCUUCACGGGCUUCUAGUCGGUGAAAAUCAAUUUAAUCGCAGCGGCUUGAACCGGGCAAAAGUCGUAACA